GGGCUAUUAGCUCAGCGGUAGAGCGCGCCCCUGAUAAUUGCGAUGGCGUACUCCUCCUGUUCGAAUCGGAGUUUGAAACCA
rnacentral:tRNA from 1 species